rnacentral:rRNA from 1 species
AUGAACGCUAGCGACAGGCUUAACACAUGCAAGUCGAGGGGCAGCGGGGGUAGCGAUACCCGCCGGCAACCGGCGCACGGGUGAGUAACGCGUAUGCAACUUGCCUAUCAGAGGGGGAUAACCCGGCGAAAGUCGGACUAAUACCGCAUGAAGCAGGGGCCCCGCAUGGGGAUAUUUGCUAAAGAUUCAUCGCUGAUAGAUAGGCAUGCGUUCCAUUAGGCAGUUGGCGGGGUAACGGCCCACCAAACCGACGAUGGAUAGGGGUUCUGAGAGGAAGGUCCCCCACAUUGGUACUGAGACACGGACCAAACUCCUACGGGAGGCAGCAGUGAGGAAUAUUGGUCAAUGGCCGAGAGGCUGAACCAGCCAAGUCGCGUGAGGGAUGAAGGUUCUAUGGAUCGUAAACCUCUUUUAUAAGGGAAUAAAGUGCGGGACGUGUCCCGUUUUGUAUGUACCUUAUGAAUAAGGAUCGGCUAACUCCGUGCCAGCAGCCGCGGUAAUACGGAGGAUCCGAGCGUUAUCCGGAUUUAUUGGGUUUAAAGGGUGCGUAGGCGGCCUUUUAAGUCAGCGGUGAAAGUCUGUGGCUCAACCAUAGAAUUGUCGUUGAAACUGGGGGGCUUGAGUAUGUUUGAGGCAGGCGGAAUGCGUGGUGUAGCGGUGAAAUGCAUAGAUAUCACGCAGAACCCCGAUUGCGAAUGCAGCCUGCCAAGCCAUUACUGACGCUGAUGCACGAAAAACGUGAGGAUCAAACAGGAUUAGAUACCCCUGGUAGUCCACGCCAGUAAACGAUGAAUCACUAGCUGUUUGCGAUACACUGUAAAGCGGGCACAGCGAAAGCCUUUAAGUGAUCCACCUGGGGAGUGCGCGGGCACCGGAGAAAACUCAAAGGAAUUGACGGGGGGCCCGCACAAGCGGAGGAACAUGUGGUUUAAUUGGAUGAUACGCGAGGAACCUUACCCGGGUUUGAACGCAUUCGGACCGAGGUGGAAACACCUUUUCUAGCAAUAGCCGUUUGCGAGGUGCUGCAUGGUUGUCGUCAGCUCGUGCCGUGAGGUGUCGGCUUAAGUGCCAUAACGAGCGCAACCCUUGCCACUAGUUACUAACAGGUAAAGCUGAGGACUCUGGUGGGACUGCCAGCGUAAGCUGCGAGGAAGGCGGGGAUGACGUCAAAUCAGCACGGCCCUUACAUCCGGGGCGACACACGUGUUACAAUGGCGUGGACAAAGGGAGGCCACCUGGCGACAGGGAGCGAAUCCCCAAACCACGUCUCAGUUCGGAUCGGAGUCUGCAACCCGACUCCGUGAAGCUGGAUUCGCCAGUAAUCGCACAUCAGCCAUGGCGCGGUGAAUACGUUCCCGGGCCUUGUACACACCGCCCGUCAAGCCAUGGGAGCCGGGGGUACCAGAAGUCCGUAACCGAAAGGAUCGGCCUAGGGUA